rnacentral:rRNA from 1 species
GACAGAGGCCUCGAGCGUUAGGCGGAAUCACUGGGCGUAAAGCGCACGUAGGCGGAUCUUUAAGUCAGGGGUGAAAUCCUGGAGCUCAACUCCAGAACUGCCUUUGAUACUGAGGAUCUUGAGUUCGGGAGAGGUGAGUGGAACUGCGAGUGUAGAGGUGAAAUUCGUAGAUAUUCGCAAGAACACCAGUGGCGAAGGCGGCUCACUGGCCCGAGUACUGACGCUCAGGAGCGAAAGCGUGGGGAGCGAGUCCGG